rnacentral:rRNA from 1 species
CCUACGGGAGGCAGCAGUGGGGAAUAUUGGGCAAUGGGCGCAAGCCUGAUCCAGCCAUGCCGCGUGGGUGAAGAAGGCCUUAGGGUUGUAAACCCCUUUCAGCGGGGAAGAUAAUGACGGUACCCGCAGAAGAAGUCCCGGCUAGCUCCGUGCCAGCAGCCGCGGUAAUACGGAGGGGACUAGCGUUGUUCGGAAUUACUGGGCGUAAAGCGCACGUAGGCGGAUCUGUAAGUUAGGGGUGAAAUCCCGGGGCUCAACCUCGGAACUGCCUUUGAUACUGCAAAUCUCGAGUCCGGAAGAGGUGAGUGGAAUUCCUAGUGUAGAGGUGAAAUUCGUAGAUAUUAGGAAGAACACCAGUGGCGAAGGCGGCUCACUGGUCCGGUACUGACGCUGAGGUGCGAAAGCGCGGGGAGCAAACAGGAUUAGAUACCCUGGUAGUCCACGCCGUAAACUAUGGGUGCUAGCCGUCGGGGAGCAUGCUCUUCGGUGGCGCAGCAAACGCAUUAAGCACCCCGCCUGGGGAGUACGGUUGCAAGAUUAAAACUCAAAGGAAUUGACGG